ensembl:lncRNA
GUGUGCCUCAAAUCCGGUGUUGCUGUGGCUGUGAUGUAGGCCGGCAGCUGCAGCUUCGAUUUGACCCCUAGCCUGGAAACUUCCAUACCCCUUAGGGGUGGCCAUAAAAGCUAAAAAUAAAAAUACAUGGCUUAGGAAUUCCCUGGUGGCCUAGAGGUUAAGGAUCUGGCAUUGUUACUGCUGUGGCAUGGGUUUGAUCUCUGGCCCAGGAACAUCUGCAUGCUGUGGGCACAGCAAAAAAACAAACAAACAAACAAAAACAUGGUUUAAUCCAAAUGACUUUCCAACCUUUUCAGCUCUCAGUCUGUUUUUCAACCAUGAACAUUUUCUUUUUUAAAAAAGUUCGAAGACCUAUAAUUGUUAGAACUUUUAGUCAGUAAGAGAACUGAGCUUAGCACGUUGAACUAGUUACAGUUUCAGUCAGCAAACUUGACAGUAGACCUAAUAGUGAAUGUUUCCAAUGGCUGUCAUUAUCUUAAACUUACUUAUUUAUUAAUCCUGUAAAGUAAAUAUAAAUACGGAAACACACAGACAUUUCGAUCCAAAGCAUUCCUAACUAGAAAUGGCCAAUCUGGAAUUGAACCCAGGCUGAUCUGAUACCAGAGCUCAUAUUUUAACUACCGCUCUGUAAGUGCCUUCUGGGUUUUGCUUGCUAUAUGCAGUCUUAGCUGGUAAAUGUCAUUAGGCUUCUUUGAAAUACUGAAUAACUGGAAUAUCUGGGAUAUUGCUAACUAGCUGGUUAGACUGUUAGUUUUCCCAGCUUGGAAUUAUAGGUGGGGCCAAAGACUAGUUUCACUGAAAUAACAGCAUAAGAAUUAUUUUAUGUUGUGAUAGUAAGAUUAACGAUAGCUUCUGAAUAGCGGAACCUUCUUAAAACUAUUUACAGUUUUUCAGACUACUUUUUUUUUUGUACCCAUGGCUUAUGUCACAAGUUUACGAAAUAUCUUGUGAUUUGAGAUUUACUUUUUACCAGCGUUAAUACAUUUCCUAGUUGGAGUGUUUCAGGAUUUGCUUUAAAUUACUUUGAAUAAAAUGGAGCCAGACUCUAGUAUUUUUAUCUGCAACCAUUAUGAUUUUUCAUGGAAUUCAAUUUUAUCGUCUUAACUUUCUUUCCAGAUUGGAGUUCUUACUCUUUGAAGGUAAAAGCCACUUUAUUAUUAUAAACACUUCUUAGUUGCCCUGUUUUGUACCUUCCCUGGCUUUCUUUUAUGUCUUUGAAGUGGCUGCUCGAAGAUCAUGAACUAUGCUGGGUGUAUAUAUAACCAUGGCUUUGUGUGUUGUUGAUUUUUUGUUUUCACAUCUUUCUGAUAAUCUGCAAUUGUUAUCUUUCUGUUUGUGUGUUUUAGAAAUAGGGAAUUGUUUCCAUUUUACUUCAUAACUCAUGAUUUGCCUAGGCUAGGGUCAUAAACUAAAGAUAGAGCAGAAUCAGAACUUAUUUCCUUAUUGUAUAAUAUGCAUAAGCAAAGUUGAAUAGCAUCCUGAUUACCCAUGAACUUUAAGAAAAUCAGUUCUCUGGUGGUAAUAGCCCAUAUAUGUAUUUGUGGCUAGUGAAUAAACAGUAAAGCAAUAUCACAGCUGAGACUUAUGACCUGGAAGAUAUUAAUCAAAGUCAGGUUGGCUCCAGGUAUACCUAGCACUGAGACCAAAUUUACCAUUCUAGAUAGAUGUCUGACAAACCAAGGUGCUGUGCCUUUGGUUGCUUUGGGGUUCCAUCCAGCUUUGUUCUACCUAGGAGAAUUACAGGUCACUUUAAUUGUCAUUAAGUCAAAGCCAGCAUGUUUAUGACAGCAUGAUCUUCAGGCCAUUUCAGUUGUCUACCCCUGUGCCCCACCCCACCCAGUCAUCAUCCUUGAUUGUCUUGUUAUUUUUGAUAGAAUUCAGUAAACCUUCAAAACUUUUCUGACUUUUGCUGACUCUGUUUGAUCCACAAUUUGUGUAUUUGUCCCUCGUAAUGCCCUCUUCCUAUGUCUUUUAUCCCUCUUUAGAGACUUCAGCCACAGUUAGGGCUUCUGGACUUUAUAUCUCUAAACCCAGUCUUUUAGUCUCAUCUCAUAUGUACCUCCAGAUCACAUGAAAUUUGGUGAUGCUGAAAAACAGAUACUAGUCAUUUAACAAAAGUUUAGUGCAUAAAUGUGUUUCUGGCACUGUGGAUACAAGGAGCAGAUUCUGGCAUAGGGAAGAAAACCAUACAGGCAUGAAGUACAUUUUGGUCCUACAGGUUACAGUCUUAGUAACCUGGAUUUUCCGUUAAUCAAGUCAUACUGAUUCUAAUAUGAUGUCUUUUCCUUUCUCCCCCUUUUUUUCCCCUCAUAGAAUUUUUUUUUUAUUUGUAUGAUUUUUAUUUUUUCCAUUAUAGUUGAUUCCUUUCUCUACUUAUUAAUUUACUAUCCUAGGAUGGUAGUUCUUAAUCUCAUAAGAAGAUGACUUGGAACCAGUGUAGAAAAAAAUAUCAGACCAGCCAUAAGAGCUAAUUGUUGUACUUUACUACUUCAGUUGACUGGAAGUUUUGUUUUAAAAUAUUCUAGGAAUUGAGCAGUACUUUUAAAGUGAUUGAUUUUAUUAAUUAUAACAGCAUUACAUUCAAUUUUAGACUAUACAUUUAGAGACCCACUUUUAUGAUAAUGUUCUAAGUACCAAAUAUACUGUGGAUAUAAAGGAGCCUUCUUCCAUUAUGGAAUUAAGGAGAAAAUUCACAUUUAGUCAGUUUGAUAUAUCCACAAAUUACAGGUAACAAGAUUACAGGUUAGGAAGCAUUGCUGUAUAUUUUACACGUCAAUUUCUAGAUUGUUAAAAUUCUUUUCCCAAUUUUCCUACCUGAUCUCUCUUACUUCUCUAUUUGUGCUUUGUAAUUGCCAUAGUAAUUAUCACAAAAAUAACAACAUUCUCAUCAUAUGGUGUCAUAUCUAAAUUCUUGGAGUUCCCAUUGUGGCGAAGCAGAAACAAAUCUGACUAGUAUCCAUGAGGGUGCGGGUUUAAACCCUGGCCUUGCUCAGUGGGUCAGGGUCCUGGCAUUGCUGUGAGCUGUGGUGUAGGUUGCCCAUGCAGCUUGGAUCUGGCAUUGCUGUGGCUGUGGUGCAGGCUGGCAGCUGCAGCUCUGAUUCAAACCCUAGCCUGGGAACUUCCAUGUGCCGCAGGUGCUACCCUGGGGAAAAAAAAAAAAGCCUUCCUGAUAUUUUGAAUUUUGAAUUUUGACUUGAUAUCUAGUCCAACCCUCUUCACUCACACUAGUCAAGCAAUAGCUCCCAUUCAUUGAGUUCAUACAGUGUGCCAGACACACGCAGCUAGGUACUUUGUAUUAUCUUUAAUAUUCACUGGCCCAGAGAAGUUGAGUAACAGCCAGGGUUGUACAGCUAGUUCGUCAUAAAGCAAGUAUUAGAACCAAAAUUUUCACUUUUAUCUUUCUUUAGAAAUAUAUUUAUCUUUUUAGAGCCAGAGACAAAGCAUUUUCUUACGUUAGAUUUAUUGAUUUAUAACCGAAGAACAGAAGGUUUAUUCUAGAAGUUUAAAUUUGUAAAAUUUAAUUUGCUAUUGUAUGCCUCUAUUCUGUCCUUAGCAUCAUAAAAUAUUUAACAUUUUAUAAUUGCUACAUGUUUCCUUCUUUAUAUAUACAAAAGCUUUAGAUUUGUAGAGCAAAGGCAUGAAAGACACACUACAUCUAUAUUUCCAUCUCCUCCUAAUAUCAAAAGUAAUAAUUGAUGCCAGGCAAGAGGGGUGUCACUAUGGAAAGAACAUUUGAAAGAAUUUGACUAAAGCCAUUCUGAAAGUUAAGUAUCAUUAGAUAUAUUGGCAAAACCUGAAUUCAGAUUCCAGCCAUUCAGGGAGCCCAUCAGGGAGAUAAGGAGAUAAUAGCUGAUAAGGAAAUAUUUAAGUGAACAUGUGCACUGUUUAGUGCUGAUAGCUGGCAUUUAAGUGCUUGCUGUGUGUUAGGUACUGUUCAUAGUGCUUUUUGGGUGUUUUCUUUUAAUCCUCACAGCUUCGCUUUUACAGAUGACACAGAUACAGGAACAUUUUGUAGUAGAGCAGUGAUUCAAAUACUUAAUAACUGGUCUGUUCCAAAGAGCCCCAUAUCUCAGUAAAUUAGAAGGAAAAAACAAAUAGAACUCCACAGUAUUACAGAGAAAGGUUUUUAUUUUAUUUUUUAUUUUGGUGUUUUUUCUCUCCUCCUCCUUGCAGCUUUUUUUUUUUUUUUUCCUUGCAGCUCAUCUCUUCCCUAUGUUCUGUAUUGAUUCCCCCCACACACACAUGUGCACAUUUAAGUUUUGCUCUUUUUCCCCUUUCCUUUUAAAAGUAUUUCAGCAUUCUCAGGAGCAGAAAACUGGAAGUUUAUUCAUAAGUUUAGAAAUUUUAUAAAAGACUUCAAAAUAAUUAUACUUCAUUGACCUAUGUCUUGUCCUGAAAUUUUUUACUUUGAAUUUAUGUUAUUUAGGGGGAGGGCUAUUAAAAUAUUUUCUCUGCCUGUUUAUGAUACAUUUUAGAUCUCCCACAUUUUUCCCUUGGAGAUUUAUCAGGAGAUGGUGUAGAGGUUUGGUAAGUAAUACAGUUUGAUUUUGUAUGUUUGAAGGGUUUCUCAUUAAGUCAUAUAUUUGAGUUUUCUUUAUUCUGGCCUUUUUUUCCCCUAGUGAUUCUUUUUACAGUAUUGAUUGAAAAUCCUUACAUUAAUGCUAAUUUUGAUCUUUUUUUUCACUAGCAUAUAUUGGAGCUCUCAGACUUGAAGAAGGAUAUAGGUAAAAAAUAUAAUAUGGAAAAUUUUCUAACAUUAGGGUUAUGAAGUCUUUCCUUUAGUUGCAUACUUGCCAAGUUCAGUCUGAAAAUUAUUUACAUAAGAAGUUAAGUGGUAUAGCUUUUGCCAAAAUGAUUAUGGAUAUUCAAUUAUUUUUUAUUUUGAUAAAUAUAACAGUUCUCAAUUCUUCAGAUCAGGGAAGUUGGUCUCAUGUUACAUUAGGAAAUACUUAGGACUUUAAAAUAUUUUCCCUUUGUGUGAAAUUUUAUGCAGAACUUGAAUUAAUUGUAAAAUGAAUAGCAAAUAUUAAUCUAAAACACAUUUUAGAUUUAUCAGAAUCAGGCCUUAUUGCUGUUUUGUCUCAAAUGCUUUCUUAUUUCCCCAGAACCCUCAUUGGAUAUAAACUCCAUAUCAUGUCUCACAUAUCCAAGCCAAGUGUGCCAAGAUGAACCCUGUAUGUCCUUGUAAGUGCUUUUCUAUGACUAGAAGCUUUAGAAGACAAAAAACAAAAAAAACAAAAAAAAAAA